UACAGAGGGUGCGAGCGUUGUUCGGAAUUACUGGGCGUAAAGCGUGCGUAGGUGGUUCUUUAAGUCAGGUGUGAAAUCCCUGGGCUCAACCUAGGAACUGCAUUUGAUACUGAAGAGCUAGAGUGUGGUAGAGGAUAGUGGAAUUCCCGGUGUAGCGGUGAAAUGCGUAGAUAUCGGGAGGAACAUCAGUGGCGAAGGUGGCUAUCUGGACCAACACUGACACUGAGGCACGAAAGCGUGGGUAGCAAACAGG
rnacentral:rRNA from 1 species